rnacentral:rRNA from 1 species
GAUGAACGCUGGCGGCGUGCCUAAUACAUGCAAGUCGAACGAGGUGCUUGAGUAGCAAUACAAGAGUAUCCUAGUGGCGAACGGGUGAGUAACGCGUGGGUGACCUGCCCCGAAGUGUGGGAUAACAGUCCGAAAGGAUUGCUAAUACCUCAUGUGGUUAUCGGAUUUAGAAACUGAUAACUAAAGCAGCAAUGCGCUUUGGGAGGGACCUGCGUCCCAUCAGCUAGUUGGUGAGGUAAUGGCUCACCAAGGCUACGACGGGUAGGGGACCUGAGAGGGUGGCCCCCCACAAUGGAACUGAAACACGGUCCAUACACCUACGGGUGGCAGCAGUAGGGAAUAUUGCACAAUGGGCGAAAGCCUGAUGCAGCAACGCCGCGUGUGCGAUGAAGGCCUUGGGUCGUAAAGCACUUUCUGAGAGAUGAGAAAGGACAGUAUCUCAGGAAUAAGUCUCGGCUAACUACGUGCCAGCAGCCGCGGU